AUUAUUAUUAUUAUUAUUAAGGCGGCGAUAAGCUGGAAGAAACAUUAGCAGGCCAGGCGAAAUGCUUAGUGCUACUUCGUAUCUCUUUACGUUCUGAGUUCAAAUUCUGCCGAGGUCAGCUUUGCAUUUAAUCGCUUCAGGGUUGAUAAAUUAAGU